rnacentral:tRNA from 2 species
GCGUUGGUGGUCCAAGGAAAGACACCCCACUUCCCGUGGGGGGAUGCAGGUGCAAGGCCUGCCCAGCGCUCCA